rnacentral:rRNA from 1 species
AUUGAACGCUGGCGGCAGGCCUAACACAUGCAAGUCGAACGGUAACAGGAAGCAGCUUGCUGUUUCGCUGACGAGUGGCGGACGGGUGAGUAAUGUCUGGGAAACUGCCUGACGGAGGGGGAUAACUACUGGAAACGGUAGCUAAUACCGCAUAACGUCGCAAGACCAAAGAGGGGGACCUUCGGGCCUCUUGCCAUCGGAUGUGCCCAGAUGGGAUUAGCUUGUUGGUGGGGUAACGGCUCACCAAGGCGACGAUCCCUAGCUGGUCUGAGAGGGUGGCCAGCCACACUGGAACGGAGACACGGUCCAGACGCCUACGGGAGGCAGCAGUGGGGAAUAUUGCACAAUGGGCGCAAGCCUGAUGCAGCCAUGCCGGGUGUAUGAAGAAGGCCUUCGGGUUGUAAAGUACUUUCAGCGGGGAGGAAGGGAGUAAAGUUAAUACCUUUACUCAUUGACGUUACCCGCAGAAGAAGCACCGGCUAACUCCGUGCCAGCCGCCGCCGUAA